AUACGGAGGGUGCAAGCGUUGUUCGGAAUUAUUGGGCGUAAAGAGCAUGUAGGCGGUUCGUUAAGUCUGAUGUGAAAGCCCGGGGCUCAACCCCGGAAGUGCAUUGGAUACUGGCGAACUUGAGUACGGGAGAGGAAAGUGGAAUUUCGAGUGUAGGGGUGAAAUCCGUAGAUAUUCGAAGGAACACCAGUGGCGAAGGCGGCUUUCUGGACCGAUACUGACGCUGAGAUGCGAAAGCGUGGGGAGCAAACAGGAUUAGAUACCCCAGUAGUCC
rnacentral:rRNA from 1 species